GCCGAAAUAGCUCAGUUGGUAGAGCGCGUCAAUGGUAAUGACGAGGUCACGGGUUCGACUCCCGUUUUCGGCUCCA
rnacentral:tRNA from 1 species